UACAGAGGGGGCAAGCGUUGUUCGGAAUUACUGGGCGUAAAGGGCGCGUAGGCGGCCUGUUAAGUCGAACGUGAAAUCCCCGGGCUCAACCCGGGAACUGCGUCCGAUACUGGCAGGCUUGAAUUCGGGAGAGGGAUGUGGAAUUCCACGUGUAGCGGUGAAAUGCGUAGAGAUGUGGAGGAACACCGAUGGCGAAGGCAGCCUCCUGGGCCAAUACUGACGCUCAUGCACGAAAGCGUGGGGAGCAAACAGG
rnacentral:rRNA from 1 species